rnacentral:lncRNA from 1 species
UCAGCAGAGGCUUAUCUUCGCCGGAAAGCAGUUGGAGGAUGGCCGUACCUUGGCUGACUACAACAUCCAGAAGGAAUCCACCCUUCACUUGGUCCUCAGGCUCCGUGGUGGUAUGCAGAUUUUCGUCAAAACCCUAACAGGAAAGACGAUUACUCUCGAGGUGGAAAGUUCUGACACCAUCGACAACGUUAAAGCCAAGAUCCAAGACAAGGAGGGUAUCCCUCCGGAUCAGCAGAGGUUGAUCUUCGCCGGAAAGCAACUCGAGGACGGCAGAACCCUUGCCGAUUACAACAUCCAAAAGGAGUCCACCCUUCAUCUUGUUCUCAGGCUUCGUGGAGGUAUGCAAAUCUUUGUCAAGACGUUGACCGGGAAGACUAUCACCUUGGAGGUGGAGAGUUCUGACACCAUCGACAACGUGAAGGCCAAGAUCCAGGAUAAGGAGGGUAUCCCACCGGACCAGCAGAGGUUGAUCUUUGCUGGAAAGCAGUUGGAGGACGGCAGAACCUUGGCUGACUACAACAUCCAAAAGGAGUCUACACUUCACUUGGUCUUGCGUCUACGUGGAGGUAUGCAGAUCUUCGUGAAAACUCUCACCGGAAAGACAAUCACCUUGGAAGUUGAAAGCUCAGACACCAUCGACAACGUGAAGGCCAAGAUCCAGGACAAAGAGGGUAUCCCACCGGACCAGCAGAGGUUGAUCUUUGCCGGAAAGCAGUUGGAGGAUGGUCGUACCUUGGCCGACUACAACAUCCAGAAGGAGUCAACCCUUCACUUGGUCUUGCGUCUACGUGGUGGUAUGCAGAUCUUUGUCAAGACCUUGACCGGGAAGACUAUCACCUUGGAGGUGGAGAGCUCCGACACCAUUGACAACGUAAAGGCCAAGAUCCAGGAUAAGGAAGGUAUUCCUCCAGACCAGCAGCGUCUCAUCUUCGCUGGAAAACAGCUUGAGGAUGGUCGCACCUUGGCUGACUACAACAUCCAGAAGGAGUCGACCCUUCACUUGGUGCUAAGGCUU